rnacentral:snRNA from 1 species
CAGCGCCCUAAAUAAAAA